rnacentral:rRNA from 1 species
UACGUAGGGGGCAAGCGUUGUCCGGAAUCAUUGGGCGUAAAGCGCGUGUAGGCGGUCCGGUAAGUCCGCUGUGAAAGUCGGGGGCUCAACCCUCGGAUGCCGGUGGAUACUGUCGGGCUUGAGUACGGAAGAGGCGAGUGGAAUUCCCAGUGUAGAGGUGAAAUUCGUAGAUAUCAGGAGGAACACCUGUGGUGUAGACAGCUUACUGGACCACGACUGACGCUGAGACACGAAAGCGUGGGUAGCAAACAGG